UACAGAGGUCUCAAGCGUUGUUCGGAAUUACUGGGCGUAAAGGGUGCGCAGGCCGCGCGGGCAGUCAAAUGUGUAAUCCAGGGGCUCAACCCCUGAACUGCGCUUGAUACUUCCGCGCUCGAGCUUUGGAGAGGAGUCUGGAAUUCUCGGUGUAGCAGUGAAAUGCGUGGAUAUCGAGAAGAACACUUAGGGCGUAGGCAAGACUCUGGACAAAAUGCUGACGCUCAUGCACGAAAGCUGGGGAGCAAACGGG
rnacentral:rRNA from 1 species